CCACAUUUCAGUAGGGGCUACCAUAUUGGACACCACAGAUAUUAAACGUUUCCAUCAUUACUGAAUGUUUUAUUGGUCAAUGCUCAUGGUUAUUUAUCUGAGAUCAUUGAUUUCUAAUAGAAGACGUAAUAAUUUUUUUUAGCAUCUACUGAUACACUAUAAUACAUUUUAUCAGUGGCAAAAACCUGUUCAAUAGGUCUCAGGUGGUAAGAGUGAACCUUUAUAAUUUUUUUUGGAGUUCACAGUUUUUUAAAGAUUUUAUUUUUUUCCUUUUUCUCCCCAAAGCCCCCUGGUCCAUAGUUGUAUCUUCUUUGUUGUGGGUCCCCCUAGUUGUGGCAUGUGGGACACUGCCUCAGCAUGGUUUGAUGAGCAGUGCCAUGUCCCCACCCAGGAUUCAAACCAACAAAACACUGGGCCACCUGCAGUGGAGCGUGUGAACUUAACCACUCAGCCAUGGGGCUGGCCCCUGGAGUUCACUUUUUGAUGAUUAUUCAAACCUGAAGAAUGGAGGCUGUCUUCAAACAAGCCCAACGGAAUUUGAGGAUGCCAGCACCUUUCCUACAUAUUUAAACUUAUCUGCAUUCCCGUUUCUGGAAUACCCUAUACCUGCAUUCUAAGUAGACUCAUGGAAGCUUCAGAGGUCAUUUAACACAUAAUGUCUCAUCUGUACAUCUUGAAGUGGUGAGUGGCUUGCCUAAGAGAACACAGAUGCUCAGUGGCAGAGCCAGAACAUGAACUCAUGCAUAAUGACCUCUGUCAUCUGGGGCCAUCGUCUGAUUUGGUACUUGUGGUUGGUACAGACUCUCUGCGCCACACCUCAUUCCACUGUGAAAGCAUUCUCAUACUGCUUUUAAUUUCAUAACUGUUAAAAAUUAUUUGGCUACGCAUAUUUCAUGCACUAUCGAGUAAAGUGAAGAGGAGAAAAAUAAAGCUACAUAAAAAAUCCAAUAAGUAAUACAUUAAAUUUGAAAGUAAACUUUGUAUGAAUAAGUUCUAAAAUAAAAAUCUUAAAAUUUUACUAUUCUUAAUAUGAAUCUUUUGAUAUUCAUGAUAAAUUCUUAAAUAAAGAGAACAAGCAAAAUGCAGAUAUAUAAUAUGAUUCUUCUUUUUAG
rnacentral:lncRNA from 1 species